rnacentral:rRNA from 1 species
AUUGAACGCUGGCGGCAGGCCUAACACAUGCAAGUCGAACGAGUGGCGGACGGGUGAGUAAUGUCUGGGAAACUGCCUGAUGGAGGGAGCUAACUACUGGAAACGGUAGCUAAUACCACAUACCAUCAGCUGUGCCCAGAUGGGAUUAGCUAGUUGGUGGGGUAACGGCUCACCAAGGCGACGCUCCCUAACUGGUCUGAGAGGCUGACCAGCUACACUUGGACUGAGGCACGGUCCAGAAUCCUACGGGAGGCAGCAGUGGGGAAUAUUGGACAAUGGGCGCAAGCCUGAUGCAGCCAUGCCGCGUGUAUGAAGAAGGCCUUCGGGUUGUAAAGUACUUUCGGCGGGGAGGCGUUACCCGCAGAUGAAGCACCGGCUAACUCCGUGCCAGCAGCCGCGGUAAUAC